rnacentral:rRNA from 1 species
UACGUAGGGUGCAGGCGUUAAUCGGAAUUACUGGGCGUAAAGCGUGCGCAGGCGGUUUGCUAAGACAGGUGUGAAAUCCCCGGGCUUAACCUGGGAACUGCGCUUGUAACUGGCAAGCUAGAGUGUGGCAGAGGGGGGUGGAAUUCCACGUGUAGCAGUGAAAUGCGUAGAUAUGUGGAGGAACACCGAUGGCGAAGGCAGCCCCCUGGGUCAAGACUGACGCUCAUGCACGAAAGCGUGGGGAGCAAACAGG